UACGAAGGGGGCUAGCGUUGCUCGGAAUUACUGGGCGUAAAGCGCGUGUAGGCGGGUCUUUAAGUCAGGGGUGAAAUGCCAAGGCUCAACCUUGGAACUGCCUUUGAUACUGGAGAUCUUGAGUCCGGGAGAGGUGAGUGGAACUGCGAGUGUAGAGGUGAAAUUCGUAGAUAUUCGCAAGAACACCAGUGGCGAAGGCGGCUCACUGGCCCGGAACUGACGCUGAGACGCGAAAGCGUGGGGAGCAAACAGGG
rnacentral:rRNA from 1 species